GAUGAACGCUGGCGGCGUGCCUAAUACAUGCAAGUCGGACGGAGAAUUAGCAAUAAUUCUUAGUGGCGAACGGGUGAGUAACGCGUUGGUGACCUGCCCCGAAGAGUGGGAUAACAGUUCGAAAGGACUGCUAAUACCGCAUGAAGUUACAGGCGUUAGAGAACUGUAACGAAAGGUGCAAACCGCUAUGGGAGGGGCCUGCGUCCCAUCAGCUAGUUGGUAGGGUAAAAGCCUACCAAGGCGACGACGGGUAGGGGGCCUGAGAGGGUGACCCCCCACACUGGCACUGAAACACGGGCCAGACACCUACGGGUGGCAG
rnacentral:rRNA from 1 species